GCGCAACUGCGGGCCCCUCUGGCGGGAAAUUCGGCUUUCCCGUGAUGUCGGAGUUGUUUU
rfam:Rhizobium oryziradicis strain N19 scaffold10, whole genome shotgun sequence.